rnacentral:rRNA from 1 species
AGUGAACGCUGGCGGUAUGCCUAACACAUGCAAGUCGAACGGCAGGACAGGAAGAGCUCGCCCUUACGGGUGGCGAGUGGCGGACGGGUGAGGAAUACAUCGGAUUCUACUUUUUCGGGGGGGAUAACGGGAGGAAACUGAUGCUAAUAGCGCAUAUGACCUACGGGUGGAAGCAGUAGUGAUUCAGACCUUUCGCGACUGAAUUAGCCGAUGUCGGAUUAGCUAGUUGGCGAGGUAAAGGCCCACCAAGGCGACGAACCGUAGCUGGUCUGAGAGGAUGGUCAGCCCACCUGGGACUGGAGAACGGUCCCGGCUCCCAAGGGGGGCAGCAGUGGGGAAUAUUGGCGAAAGGGGCGAAGCCUGAUCCAGGCAUAGCGGGUGGGUGAAGAAGGCCUUCGGGUUGUAAAGCCCUUUUGUUGGGAAAGAAACAAAGGAGGUUGAUACCACGCUGUUCUGACGGUAACCAAAGCAUAAGCCCCGGCUAACUUCGUG